rnacentral:tRNA from 1 species
GUUAGGAUAACUUAAGAUUAAAAGUUUAAUAUUGAAGAUAUUAUUAUGGGUUAUAACCCUCUUGACA